GACGAACGCUGGCGGCGUGCUUAACACAUGCAAGUCGAACGGAAAGGCCCUGCCUUUGUGGGGUGCUCGAGUGGCGACCGGGUGAGCAACCCGUGAGUUACCUGUCCCUGACUUUGGGAUAACCUCAGGAAACUGGGGCUCAUCCCGGCUAGGAGUUACCGCUGUUUGGUGGGGGUUGGUAAGUUUCGGUGGUUGGGGAUGGAAUAGCGGCUCAUCAGCUUGUUGGUGGGGUAGUGGAUUAGCAAGGCUUUGAAGGGUAGCCGGGCUGGGAGGGUGACAGGCUACGUUGGGCCUGAGAUACGACCCAGACUCGAACGGGAGGCAGCGGAGGGGAGGAUAGCACAAUAGGCGGGGCCCUGAUGCAGCAACGCCGCGUGCGGGAUGACGGCCUUCGGGUUGUAAAGCACUUUCGCCUGUGACGAAACGUGAAUGACGGUAAUGGGUAAAGAAGCACCGGCUAACUACGUG
rnacentral:rRNA from 1 species